rnacentral:rRNA from 1 species
ACUGCAGUCGAGCGGACAGAUGGGAGCUUGCUCCCUGAUGUUAGCGGCGGACGGGUGAGUAACACGUGGGUAACCUGCCUGUAAGACUGGGAUAACUCCGGGAAACCGGGGCUAAUACCGGAUGGUUGUUUGAACCGCAUGGUUCAAACAUAAAAGGUGGCUUCGGCUACCACUUACAGAUGGACCCGCGGCGCAUUAGCUAGUUGGUGAGGUAACGGCUCACCAAGGCAACGAUGCGUAGCCGACCUGAGAGGGUGAUCGGCCACACUGGGACUGAGACACGGCCCAGACUCCUACGGGAGGCAGCAGUAGGGAAUCUUCCGCAAUGGACGAAAGUCUGACGGAGCAACGCCGCGUGAGUGAUGAAGGUUUUCGGAUCGUAAAGCUCUGUUGUUAGGGAAGAACAAGUACCGUUCGAAUAGGGCGGUACCUUGACGGUACCUAACCAGAAAGCCACGGCUAACUACGUGCCAGCAGCCGCGGUAAUACGUAGGUGGCAAGCGUUGUCCGGAAUUAUUGGGCGUAAAGGGCUCGCAGGCGGUUUCUUAAGUCUGAUGUGAAAGCCCCCGGCUCAACCGGGGAGGGUCAUUGGAAACUGGGGAACUUGAGUGCAGAAGAGGAGAGUGGAAUUCCACGUGUAGCGGUGAAAUGCGUAGAGAUGUGGAGGAACACCAGUGGCGAAGGCGACUCUCUGGUCUGUAACUGACGCUGAGAGCGAAAGCGUGGGGAGCGAACAGGAUUAGAUACCCUGGUAGUCCACGCCGUAAACGAUGAGUGCUAAGUGUUAGGGGGUUUCCGCCCCUUAGUGCUGCAGCUAACGCAUUAAGCACUCCGCCUGGGGAGUACGGUCGCAAGACUGAAACUCAAAGGAAUUGACGGGGGCCCGCACAAGCGGGGAGCAUGUGGNUUUAAUUCGAAGCAACGCGAAGAACCUUACCAGGUCUUGACAUCCUCUGACAUCCUAAGAUAGGACGUCCCCUCGGGGGCAGAGUGACAGGCAUGUCGUCAGCUCGG